CCUACGGGUGGCAGCAGUAGGGAAUAUUGCUCAAUGGGGGAAACCCUGAAGCAGCAACGCCGCGUGGAGGAUGAAGGUUUUCGGAUUGUAAACUCCUUUUGUUAGAGAAGAUAAUGACGGUAUCUAACGAAUAAGCACCGGCUAACUCCGUACCAGCCGACGCGGUAAUACGGAGGGAGCAAGCGUUGUUCGGAAUGACUGGGCGUAACGUUUGCGUAGGCGGUUUGACAAGUAAGAAGUGAAGUCCCAGGGCUUAACCCGAGUACUGCAUCUUAAACUGGAAGACUUGAGUGUGAUAGAGGUUAGUGGAAUUCCUGGUGUAGCGGUGGAAUGCGUAGAGAUUAGGAGGAACACCAGUGGCGAAGGCGGCCAACUGGACUACAACUGACGCUGAGGCGCGAAAGUGUGGGGAGCAAACAGGAUUAGAUACCCGUGUAGUC
rnacentral:rRNA from 1 species